AGCGGCGGACGGGUGAGUAACGCGUGGGUAACCGUGCCUCAUACAGGGGGAUAACAGUUGGAAACGGCUGCUAAUACCGCAUAAGCGCACAGUACCGCAUGGUACGGUGUGAAAAACUCCGGUGGUAUGAGAUGGACCCGCGUCUGAUUAGGUAGUUGGUGGGGUAACGGCCUACCAAGCCGACGAUCAGUAGCCGACCUGAGAGGGUGACCGGCCACAUUGGGACUGAGACACGGCCCGA
rnacentral:rRNA from 1 species